GUGCUCACUUCGGCAGCGCAUGUACUAGAAUUGGAACGACACAGAGAAGAUUAGCAUGGUCCCUGUACAAGGAUGACACGCAAAUCCGUGAAGGUUUCCAUAUUAUU